rnacentral:lncRNA from 1 species
AGAAAACAUAGCUUCACUGAACUGUCAGAGUUGCCACUUCAAGGUUCACCUGAUAUACUUAACUGCAAUCUUACUUAUGUCAACAAACUUCGCGAGUAUUGGCACAGAGGCCAGAAUGAUCUUGUCAUUGAUGACCAGGUAGCUUGCUCUUUAAUGUUCUUAUCCUCAUUGCUUCUCUGUUCUGCAUAUGUCUAUGAUGUCUCAAAUACCAUGACUUCAAUUUUGUGCUUGAAGAAAAUAAAAGUCGGAUUUGUGUGUGUGCACGCGUGCGUGUUGUGUGUGUGUAUAUAGAGAGAGAAAGGGAGAGAUAUUAUUCCUUCGGAACGAGGAGCAAUCUCCCAUACAGUGGUAUAUAUAGGCUUAUAAAGUACAUUCGUGGAGCACUACAAUAUGAGGUGCACUAGUAGUAGUGCUUGCUAUAUCAAUCCAGCAGAUUGCAGUCCAUGACCAUAUCAAUGGCUAUAACGUAAGAUACAAUUAAACAUAAAUAGUACUUGAGUUACAUAUCAUUUGUAAUAACAUUACCCUUGAAAAUGGCAUAUUAUUAAUUUCAAUGUAACUUCUAAAUUUUGCGCUAAUUACUAGAAACUUUCUGGCAUAUGAAUGCAUUUAAUGAAUGUUAAAUGAUGAAAGCUCGCAAGUUUAAAUUGAUUCUAGUUGCACUGCCCUCGAUUUGAUCCCACUCCAUCCUUACGUUGAGCUGAUUGAGGCAUUCAAUUGUUUUGGUCAUACUGCUCAUUUGUUUGGUAAAUGCUAUUAUGGCCUCGCUUAUGACAUCAGCUUGUCAACUUGUUAUUUUGUUGAAAUUAGGUUUUUAAAUGCACGCAGAUCUUCUGGUACUAAAAUUUCUGGACUUUUAACAAAUGCUGAAGAACUAGAACUGGAGGAGAGCUCCGAUGAUUUAGAGGAAGACAGGCUAGAAAUAGGAGAGGAAAGUUCGUGUCAUAUUGAUCAGCACUUUUCCAUUACUGCAGCUCUUUUCCUGAAGCAGGUAACGUACACAUUGAUCAGUACACAUUCAACAUACUAAAGCAUAAGUUCACCAGGUUCAUUUUUUCUUAUUCCUUGAAAUUGAAUUUUGGUGUUUCUUUUGCAGCAGGAAAUUUACAUGUCCAACCUUGAUUUCCUUGAAGAAAAUGAUGAUGAGGUGGACCUAACAUGAUGUACACUUCAUUCAAUUUUCUUGUGUUAGUUAUUAAAUAUUAUAAGUACUAUAUGAUCUUUGGGAGAUCAAGACAUAAUAAUAAAUUUUGUACAUAUCGUGACUUGAGCAUUAUCUAUUUAUAUAUGGAGUAUUAGUUUUAA